rnacentral:rRNA from 1 species
UACGAAGGGGGCGAGCGUUGUUCGGAUUUACUGGGCGUAAAGGGCGCGCAGGCGGCUCAUUUUGUCAGGCGUGAAAGCCCCGGGCUUAACCUGGGAACUGCGUUUGAUACGGAUGGGCUAGAGUUCGGGAGAGGAGAGUGGAAUUCCCAGUGUAGAGGUGAAAUUCGUAGAUAUUCGCAAGAACACCAGUGGCGAAGGCGGCCAACUGGACCAUUACUGACGCUGAGGUGCGAAAGCGUGGGGAGCAAACAGG